GAUUGAACGCUGGCGGCAGGCCUAACACAUGCAAGUCGAACGGUAACAGGAAGAAGCUUGCUUCUUUGCUGACGAGUGGCGGACGGGUGAGUAAUGUCUGGGAAACUGCCUGAUGGAGGGGGAUAACUACUGGAAACGGUAGCUAAUACCGCAUAACGUCGCAAGACCAAAGAGGGGGACCUUCGGGCCUCUUGCCAUCGGAUGUGCCCAGAUGGGAUUAGCUAGUAGGUGGGGUAACGGCUCACCUAGGCGACGAUCCCUAGCUGGUCUGAGAGGAUGACCAGCCACACGGGAACUGAGACACGGUCCAGACUCCUACGGGAGGCAGCAGUGGGGAAUAUUGCACAAUGGGCGCAAGCCUGAUGCAGCCAUGCCGCGUGUAUGAAGAAGGCCUUCGGGUUGUAAAGUACUUUCAGCGGGGAGGAAGGGAGUAAAGUUAAUACCUUGGCUCAUUGACGUUACCCGCAGAAGAAGCACCGGCUAACUCCGUG
rnacentral:rRNA from 1 species